AAUAAUUUCAAAAGACAUAAUUACAUGACCACAAAAUAAUCUGACAUAUAAACAGUUUGCAAACUGUUACAGUUACUUCUAUAUCUAUAGCUGUGUGCAGUGAAAAUUGUUGUUCAAUAUGAUGUGGAGGCAAUCCAACAUACUGAAUCACCUACAAAGGAUUAAGUUUUAUUUUAAAAAAGAAAACUGGCAGAUACAUAUAAGAAAAGUUUUUAAACAAGGUUAAAUAAUAACUUUACCAAAGUGUUCUGCCUAACAGGUUUAAUGGAAGUAUUCACUUUUGUACUAUUAGCAUCAGUUACUAUUUUAGCUGCUCCGAAUUUCUAUCACAAAUGAAUUUCAAGCAAGAUCUAGAUUUUCUUCAACAAAUUUAACAACUUCUUAAACAUUUUAAAGAGGAGUCUACCUUUAUAAAUAAAACAAUCAAAUGUAUUUUAAGUGCUUUGAAAUUAUAAAGCACAAUAAAUAUAUAAGCUAUUACUGUUGCUAGCCAGUCCCUAGCUACAGCAACAGUUUGACAUUCCUUUCCCCAUUGCUCACACUGCCGCCCACACUGGAGAUUUCAGUCUAAGAAUUACCUAUAUUCUUCCCCAAAAGGAGUCAAUAGAAGUACGUGAUGAGACCACAUAUUUGA
rnacentral:lncRNA from 1 species